ACGCCCACCAGCUAGCCCAUCCAACCAAAAACAACACCCCACCAUUAAUACCCCCAAAUGCACUAACAUUAAACUGAAUAAACCAUUUUUCCCCCUUAGUAUGGGAGACAGAAAAGGGCCCAAGGAGCAAUAGAGAAAGUACCGCAAGGGAACGCUGAAAGAGAAAUGAAAGAACCCAGUAAAGCCUAGAAAAGCAGAGAUUUCAACUCGUACCUUUUGCAUCAUGAUUUAGCCAGCAAAACCCAAGCAAAGAGUACUUUAGUUUGAAUCCCCGAAACUAGUGAGCUACUCCAAGGCACUAUAAAUAGGGCGAACCCGUCUCUGUGGCAACAGAGUGGAAAGAGCUUUGAGUAGAGGUGAUAUACCUACCGAACCUAGUUAUAGCUGGUUGCCUGAGAAUUGGAUAUAGUUCAGCCUCCCGACUUCUCUCCUCAAACACGUCGAAACUUCUGACCCCCCCCCCAGAAACCGUGAGAGUCAUUCAAAGGAGGUACAGCUCCUUUGAAACAAGACACAACUUUUCCAGGAGGGUAAAG
rnacentral:rRNA from 1 species